rnacentral:rRNA from 1 species
UACAGAGGUCCCAAGCGUUGUUCGGAUUCAUUGGGCGUAAAGGGUGCGUAGGCGGCGCGGUAAGUCGGGUGUGAAAUCUCGGAGCUUAACUCCGAAACUGCAUUCGAUACUGCCGUGCUUGAGGACUGGAGAGGAGACUGGAAUUUACGGUGUAGCGGUGAAAUGCGUAGAUAUCGUAAGGAAGACCAGUGGCGAAGGCGGGUAGCUGGGCCGACACUGACGCUGAGGCGCGAAAGCCAGGGGAGCGAACGGG